CCUUCCUGUCUCUUGUUCUCAGUGUAUUUUCUCUCCCUUUCCCAUUUUUUCCUUUUUCGUGCUGUUUUCCACAGCCCGGCCAGAGGGAGGCUGUAAGGAUGGAGCGUGCGGCGGCAACAAUGUAGCAAGUGCUUCCUGAGCACCUGCUGUGUGUCUGUGCUGAGAGCCAGCCAGGAACUUGAUGACGGCGAGACAGCCGGGGUCUGCGGUCCUCACAGAGCUCACCUCUGCUCAGACCACUUUCCAGAGGAGGAAAACAAGGCAACACAGAGCUAGCUGCCUGGCUAUUCUGGGAUCAAAGCCUCAGGAUUUCUCCAGGUGGAGGAAAGCGUCUGGACGAGGAGCCUGGAACCACAAGAAGAGGUCGAACAUGUGUCCUCGCAUGACCUCUGCCCUGGUCACUGAGAGCACGGAGGCCACGUGUGCUUGUGGACUCCAGACGCUUCACUCAGCAAACAAGAUGGAACAAGAUGAAGAAGCCGACGGCCGAUCUGAGACCAUUGCAGAAGUGCAGGAGCGGGAAGCAAGACCAGGGACUAUGGAACGGGGCUGACUGGGUCAGCAUUCGAGGGGGCAGUAUUGUCAGAGCUUGGCUGUUGAUUGAACGUGGAGUCGAAGGAAAAGGAGAUGAAAUUUGAACCCCAGUUAUGGUUUGGGUGGCUCAGUGAGUGACUGAGUCAGUGGCUAGGAUGGAGAAUAAAGAGCAGGCACACAACAGGGAGUGGGUGGCAUCAGGUAUGUGUAUUUGAAGAUUUGGUUUUUAUGGCUACAUAUAUUUAUUUCAAUAACUCAGUCAUAUUUGUUUACAACCAUUAAGACACUGCUCCACUUCCUUAAUGAUGUCAACUAAAAGAAGUGUUCUAACUUU